rnacentral:piRNA from 1 species
UAAAACAGUGACUUUGUGCAUUCACUCAUUCU